rnacentral:lncRNA from 1 species
AGCACAGAAUAGGUGGGGGCUAAGCCUUGUGUUUGAGCCCCUCUGCCAUUUUCUCCCCCAUCCUGAAAGACACGGGUGUAGAAGAAGCCUGAGUUUUACCAUAUGCUUUUCCCAAGAGGCUAAGUUUUAAAUAAGUGUAUGGAAUAGCAACAAUUACUUAUUCAGUACUUAGAAUUCUGUAUUUACUAUAUAAUUUUGUCAAAUAUCCUGGGGUUCAUAUUAUUAUCCCCAUUUAAAGAUAAGGAAACUCCGAAAGGCUAAGUCAUUUGUUUAAGGUCAUAGAGCAAGCAUGUAGCAGAAUUUGAAAUCAAAUGUAGGUUUUUUGGAUCUCCCUAAGUCAAAG